GCCUAACACAUGCAAGUCGAGCGAUUCUCUUCGGGGAAGAGCGGCGGACGGGUGAGUAACGCGUGGGUAACCUGCCUCAUACACAUGGAUAACAUACCGAAAGGUAUGCUAAUACAGGAUAACAUAAGAGAUUCACAUGGAUUUCUUAUCAAAGCUCCGGCGGUAUGAGAUGGACCCGCGUCUGAUUAGCUAGUUGGUAAGGUAACGGCUUACCAAGGCGACGAUCAGUAGCCGACCUGAGAGGGUGAUCGGCCACAUUGGAACUGAGACACGGUCCAAACUCCUACGGGAGGCAGCAGUGGGGAAUAUUGCACAAUGGGCGAAAGCCUGAUGCCAGCAACGCCGCGUGAGUGAUGAAGGCCUUCGGGUCGUAAAACUCUGUCCUCAAGGAAGAUAGUGACGGUACUUGAGGAGGAAGCCCCGGCUAACUACGUGCCAGCCGCAGC
rnacentral:rRNA from 1 species